rnacentral:tRNA from 1 species
GUGCCCGUAGCUCAGCUGGAUAGAGCACUUGCCUUCUAAGCUAGUGGUCGAGGGUUCGAAUCCCUCCGGGCGCGCCA